CGCGGAAAUCCGGUUACCGCCAUUUUAGAGGGUGGACUGUUCAGCGUGUUUUGCUGAACGCGUUCGAAUGUUCCAGUGCUUUCUACGUACAUUUCACAAGUAACUGAAUUAUUUUCUGCGUUAUUGCGGUAGACUUAGCAAUUCAAUAUGAGUUACGGCAGGCCUCCGCCAGACGUCGAGGGUAUGACUUCUUUAAAAGUCGACAAUCUGACGUACCGUACGUCUCCUGAAGCCCUACGGCGAGUUUUCGAAAAGUACGGUCGGGUCGGGGAUGUUUACAUCCCAAGAGACCCGUACACGAAAGAGAGCCGCGGGUUCGCCUUCGUCAGGUUCCACGAUAAACGGGACGCAGAGGAUGCGAUGGACGCUAUGGACGGUGCGCAGCUGGACGGGCGCGAACUGCGCGUGCAGAUGGCGAGAUACGGGCGCCCGCCAGAGUCCCACAACAGCCGUCGCGGGGCCCAGCCGAGGAGAUAUGGUGGUGGUGGAGGUGGAGGCGGAUACGGUCGAAGCCGCAGUAGUCCUCGACGCAGGAGGCGCAGCAAGUCCAGAAGCAGGAGUCGAUCCCGUUCCCGCAGCAGAUCCCGCUACAGCCGAUCAAGAUCCAAGUCGUACUCCCGUUCACGUUCCAAAUCCCGCACACCACGCAGGAGCAAGUCGAAAUCGGCUUCCAGGUCCCGUUCAAGAUCCAAGUCAAAGUCCCGCUCCAGGAGUCACACUCCCCGAUCAAACAAAGGGUCCAAAUCAAGAUCUAGAAGCAGAUCCAUAAGCAAACCCAAAUCUCCAGAGGCGAAUGGAGAUACCGGUGAAUCGUGAAAAUUGGCUGCUGAUUCCUGUUUGCAAAAGAGGAGUUUGGGGCAGUUUGAGAGCAGUUAGUGUGUGAACCAACCAUUGGCUGCCUGCUGCUGAUUGGUGUUUGCUAUGGAGCAGGUCGGUCUCAUUGAGUGUUGAGGUGGUGUUGAGAUGAUGUCACAUCGUUGAAACUUCAAGGAUCACAUUGAACGAUGUCAUCUUAUGAGGAUACCGAAAUAAUCCAUAUAUCUGACCGAAAGGCGCAGUUGCGGCGCAGUUGUGUAGCAGUUGAGUUUUGCUGGUUAGCUGUUAAGGUGGUGCGGUGCAGAGUGCUUGGCUGUUUCCAGUUUUCUCCUGAUUGCUCCUGUUAACAUCUUAAUUUGACUUUAAGAUUUGGCUACAGCAUUUUAGUUUUUUUUUUUUUUUUGCAGAAAGAUCCUGUUGCAAACGUAAUAUGAGCGCAUUACACAUCGGAGGUUAAUCGAGAUUAGAGAUAUAUAUUUUGAUUGCAUUUUUCAUUGUCUGUGAAUUUCUGUGUGAAUGCCAAUAAAGGUCUUUUUUGAGCAUGAAA